UCGCCGCCAUGGCUUCCAGGACCGGCUGCUCCAGUUCGUCGAAGGUGUUCAUGAUGACCGCCUUGGCCAUAGAGGCUCUUUGGGCCUCACGGUUGCAGUAGUUGAGCAUGAUGUCGUCGGGGUCCGUCGUGCGAAUGAAGUACACAUGAAGUAAGCGAUAUGGACUGCUUUGGAGUGGAAGAAGAAGGGAGGUCGUUUUAGGCACCUUUGAGAGGCGUGAGACCUCUUUCGAGGAGAUGUUUGUACUGGAGAUAGCCCAUGAAGCCACAGGCGCUGGGGGUCCAAAACAUCACCUCGGGGAUGCUGAGCUCCGUGGCGGCGUCGACGGUGAAGCUCAUGACUCCGUCGGACACGACGCACGACACCGGUGGAGAACCUUCGUUGAGCUGCCUGAGGAGGUCGAGGAAGGGGGGGAGAGCGUUGUUCUGGAUGGAUUCACACAGCGAGGGGAUGUCCUGCGUCGCGUCCUCGUCGGAGGGAGGGAGGCCGUCGGGGAUGGUCUCGAAGCGGAAGUCGGGGAGGACGUCGGCGGAGGAGAGGGCUUUGGAACGGAGGAGGCGUCUGUGGUUGUACUGGGUGUUGACGAAGGUUAUGUGGAAGCCAUGGGAGUGGAGGAGCUUGGCGAGCAUCAUCAUAGGUGUUACGUGGCCUUGCGCCGGGUAAGGGAUGCACACUGCAUGAGGCUUUCGCGUCGACAUGCAACGCAUCUCUCUCUCUCUCUCUCUCUCUGUGCUUUGGUUUCUGCGAGGAUGUUGCUACCAGAAGCAAGGCUUAUGUUAUCAGCAGAAGAAAAGAACUCUUGUCCUCGCGCGGCAGAGUGGAUGUUGCUCGGUGGCCGUCCGUUUAUCAUCUUUUCUAAUGCUGCAAUAUUUUGAAACUCUCAACCAUGUAAUAAUUAUCUCAGGGAAAGACAACAUAAUGUGUCGAGAAUACCAAAGACAAUAAUAUAUUUGUGUCUAAACUAGUCAUGGCCUUUUUUUUCC